UCUGGUCCCCGUGCUCCUUCAUUUAAUAGGUUUCGUCGGAUACUGUCUUCAGGUUCCAGUCUCCCACCAAGGAGACCCCAACAAGUGAUGCCUGAACAGGGACCUGAACAUAGCGGCUCAGGCUGUAUCGACGAAGUGUUCUUCCUGAAGGAAACUUGACCCACCCUUCACUCAAGGACUUCUGUUUGUAAACUGAUUUAAGUCUAGCAACUGGUUACAGGGUUGUGAUUUCCUAUUGUUAUACUUAAAGGGAACACAGCUGUCACCUGGCCUGGAGUCACUCACUGACCCUUGAAGUACACAGCAUCCAUUGCUCUGCUCCACUGAUGUGUUUCUACUCCAUGUGUCAACUGGCAGAUAUGCCUGACUCUUGUUACUGGAUGAUUGACUGUCUCCACACCCAGAAAAGGGUUAGGCCAGCCAAAACUCUCAUCUCCCACUCUGAUGAAGACUGAAGAGGCUUCAAGCAACCUACAAUGCCCAGUUCACAGAUAUUAACAACUUCUGUGAGAAAAUUUGGGUGACCCUGGACAUUAUCAGUGAGUCAAUUCAACUAUUGAUAGAUACAGAGGCAGUUCUUUCCAUUUUUAACUUCCUUCUCUGGAAAACCCUCCUCUAGAUCAACCUCAAGUAAGAGCUUCUGUACUCUUGCUAUAACAUGUCAAUUCAAAGACCAAAUGUUUACCAAUGAGCUUUUAAUUAUCCCACAGUGUUUUACUCCCUUGGCAGGAAGAGAUUUAUUUGCAAAAUUGAGGGCAAUUCUUAAAUUCUGGCAAAGUCAAAGUGGAUUUUAUCUGUUAAUACUACAUCAAGCAUCCCUGACAUUAUUAGCUAACAGGUGAAUUCUGCUGUAUGGUGUAAUGCAAUGUCUGACAGGGCAAAUUCAACAAUGCCAGUAGUUAUGAAACUAAAAGACCCCAGCCAAUUUCACAACAAAAGCAAUAUUCAAUCAGAGAAGAAGCCUGUGAAGGACUUCAGCCUCUCACAGACAAGUUUCUUACAUCUGGCUUCUGUGGCCUUGUUAGUCCUCUUGCAAUACUCCCAUUCUCCCUGUAUUAAACCUUCAAGAAAAUGUAGGAUGAUUCAAGCUCUCUUCCUCUUGAACAAGACUGUAAUCCUAAUCCACUCUCUGGUGCCAGAUCCAUGUACAAUUGUCUUCCAAAUUCCAGGAGACAUGAAUCUGUUCUUAGUCUUAGAUUUCCAAGAUGCUUUCUCUUUCAUCCCUCUUCAUCCAGAUACCCAGUUCCUGUUUCACUUUGAGCGGGAAAAAUCCCAUCCCAAGGAAAAAACAGCAGUACACUUGGAUAGUUCUCCAAUAGGGUUUUAGAGGUAGCCCUCACCUUUUUUCUCAGGUACUAGAAAAAGACUUAAGGAAUCUAGAGCUUGAACAGGGAAACUUCAUACAUUAUGUAGAUGAUAUUUUAAUUUUCAGCCCAACUUGGGAACUAUCUAACCAUAAUAUUAGCCAAAUCCUCAAUUUUCUAGCUGAAACAGGAUAUAAUGCUCAAAGAAAAGGCUCAGAUAUUCAUCCAAAAAGCCAAAUUCUUAGGAUGCAUCCUUACACUCAGAAAAUGACAGCUGUCUAAGGACCAGAUCCAGGUUAUUUGUGACCUAUGAUUCCCUGCCUCCAAACAACACCUUCAUUCCUUACUGGAAAUGGCCAGCUUCUGUCAGAUCUGGAUCCCUAAUUUUACACUAAAAACAAAGCCUUUAUAUGGGGCUGUCAAAAGUCCUGAGUCUGUGUCCAUAGUAACUGACAGUAUCUUUCAUGAAAUAAAACAUGCACUUACUUUAUGUACUGGUAAUACCUGCCUUAAGAAAGCCCCUUUUCCUGUACACAUCAGAAAGGAGAGUAGUUGCUUUGGGUGUUGACAAGAACCCCACUCAGAGGCAUACUAUUUUUAAAAAUUACAUACAGUGCUGCUGGAUGGUUGCUCUGCCUGAGGAUCAUAGCAAUUACAGCUAUAGCAACAGUAGAAGCUAUAAAACCAACUUUGGGGACAAAGCUAGAAUUUCUGACUCCUCAUUAGGUCAGGGCUAUUAAUUGUGGCUGACAGAGGAACAGCUUACCAAGUAUGAGGCCAUGCUUUUAAAUAUCCUUGAAGUUACAAUAAAGACUUCCACUACUCUUAAUCCUAACUCAUUAAUGCCUACAGGCUUAGGGGUUAGCCACUCUUGUGAAACAAUGAUUUUCUAGACCUACGUAAGUAGGGAGAACAUCAGAACAUCAUCUCCAAGACCCUGAGGUAGUGUGGUUCACUGAUGGAAGUACUUUGGCACAGAAGGACAUCAGAAGGCAGGUUAUGCAGUUGUCAAUUCACAACAGGUUACUGAGGCCAAAACACUACCCCCAGGGACCUCUACUCGAAAAGCAGUGCUCAUAGCUCUUAUUUGGGCAUUGAUAUUAGGAAAAGGCAAAAUGUUAGCUAUUUACACAGACUCCAAGUAUGGCUUGCUGGUGCUGCAUGCUCAUGUAGCAAUCUGGAAAGAAGAGGGCUUGUAAACUAACAAUCAAUCAUCUAUAAAGCACAAACAAGAAAUUCUACAACUCCUAGAGGCAGUCUAUUGUCCUAAGUAGGUUGCUAUCAUGCAUUGCAAAGGACACCAAAGGGAUAUGUCUAAAGGCUCUUUGGGAAAUUGGAAGGCUAAUAGAGAGGCAAGAAAGGCAACCUUGUAGCCUCUCGAAAGCCUAGCCUUGUUCUCAGUCCCUGAGGAACACUUAAAACCAGACUAUUGCCUCAAGAAUAUAAAUGUGCUAUGCCCUACCAAGGUCCUGAGUUGCACAGAACAUGCCGAAUCAGCCCAAUGCAGACAGGCAGGU